rnacentral:rRNA from 1 species
GACGUAGGGCGCGAGCGUUGUCCGGAUUUAUUGGGCGUAAAGAGCUCGUAGGCGGCUUGUCGCGUCGGCUGUGAAAACCCGCGGCUCAACUGUGGGCGGGCAGCUGAUACGGGCAGGCUGGAGUUCGGUAGGGGAGACUGGAAUUCCUGGUGUAGCGGUGAAAUGCGCAGAUAUCGGGAGGAACACCGGCGGCGAAGGCGGCUGCCUGGACCAGUCCUGACGCUGAGGCGCGAAAGCUAGGGGAGCAAACAGG